GGCGAGUUAGCCAAGUGGUAAGGCAACGGUCUGUAAAACCGUGACCACGGGUUCGAAUCCCGUACUCGCCA
rfam:Candidatus Woesebacteria bacterium RIFCSPLOWO2_01_FTLL_39_25 rifcsplowo2_01_scaffold_66, whole genome shotgun sequence.